GACGUAGGAGGCGAGCGUUAUCCGGAUUCACUGGGCGUAAAGCGCACGUAGGCGGAUCGAUCAGUCAGGGGUGAAAUCCCAGGGCUCAACCCUGGAACUGCCUUUGAUACUGUCGAUCUGGAGUAUGGAAGAGGUGAGUGGAAUUCCGAGUGUAGAGGUGAAAUUCGUAGAUAUUAGGAAGAACACCAGUGGCGAAGGCGGCUCACUGGCCCGGUACUGACGCUGAGGCGCGAAAGCGUGGGGAGCAAACAGG
rnacentral:rRNA from 1 species